UACGAGUGGUGCUGGUGGUGCUCGAUGGGGUAGUCAUCUAGCUCUGGAGAAAACCGACGGGAUUGACUCAACUUAGGUAAGUGCCACGGUUUUAACGCUUUUUGAACGAGUAAAUCCACAUAUUUAACCACCGUAAAAACACAUCUCUCUCCUCUUCCAUUCUUGUGUUUUCUUGUCUUCUUCUUCCCUCCUUCCCCUCUUCUUCUUCCCUCCUUCCCCUCCUAUUCCGUCGUCGGCCGGUCGAGGCGCUCCACCGUCGUGGGACAGCCGGUCGUCGACCGGCUAGCCGGGCGCCCACACAUACUUUUACCACCUCUCUAACGGCACUUCUAUGAUUUAUUGUAAGGUCAACCUAAUCUACUAUGUUUCAAAGAGUUUCUCAAGUUGUUAGAAUCCCCCGAAUUCGUAGUUUUAUAACACCUCAAUCACCCGAAGACAUUACUUAGUCACCUUCCUGGACGAUACAAGCUUCCUUUUGUUCAAUGACGACAUUCAGACGCAUGCCGCGAAACGAAGCUCAUACAUAGGUUACCAUCGGAAGUGUUCGUAUAGAGACCGCUCAAACUGUAUAAAUCAAACCCGCAAUAGUAACAUUUCUAUUACUGGCCUGUAGUUCCGAUGUUAAGAUGACAACUCUACUACUGGGCCUUUAGACAAUGCGACCAUGUUCUUUCAACCUUCUUCUUCGAUGCACUUUGUAAGAUAGUUCUGUCACCACUCUUAAGCGGGUAAGAAUAUUCUUUCUUGUUGUCGUAGUGCUAGUUCAGGUCUAGAAGAAGUCCGUUGAAAGCCAUACGCCUCGGUUCCCGUUACGGAAAGUCAAAUGAUUUUCAGCAAUGUUCGCUAAAGAGAGCUCUCCUUAAUUAACCGGCCCCACCGAUACCUCCACAAAUGUUCCCUCAGAUACCCCUACCUGUUUAACGACACUUCGAGAUAUGAAAUUUUCCUUAUCUAUUAUUCGUCAAGGUCUUACGUUAACUUCAGGUGUUCUUCAAGGUAGUACUUUUACAGCGCGUUAAUCAACCGAUGACGAUGCUCUGUCUUCUUCACCAAUAUGGCAAGUUGCCUUUCGUACAUCACCAACCAAACCUAUAUGUGUACCGUUAGACGAACCUCAUAAAGGGUUUACCUAGGGAAUUAGCCAUGUAGAGUCUGCACUUUAGGCCUGACCUGACCACAUACGCGAUGGUUUAUUAAUUCCCGAAUACACUACCAAAUUCUAUGGAGGUACUCCCAAACCUCUCAGGACAAUAAGUGUACUUGGAUUUUGGAUCGUUAUAUAACUACCUACUCUUUGACUGUGGAUUUUAUCCGCUAAAACCAGAUCGUUCUAAGCCACGUCCUUUCUCGCUGUCCUGUUACCUAUAUUCACCUCGUGCACUUAUGUACGGCGGCCUUAAGUAACUUUUUGUUCAUUAUAGUUUUUUCGUACUGUAUAUGUCGAAUCCGCAAUAUUAGUAUUUCGACUACUGUCCCCACUUUUACAUAAACUUUACAAUGCUAUACAGAAGGCUCUUCAAAUAACUCGACUGCGAACUUUUAACCUCCCUCUCCGACGUCUUUUGUCACCUACGAUGUAAUUAACUUCCUAUAACACUUGUUCAAUUCUUUACGAACCUAUAUCGCAACUGGACAGACCGCUCAUUGUCUGCGUCUUCCGGAUGGUAGCCCCUAUAGCAUGUAUGUGACUUGCUUUGUCUUUGGAACUAAGGCGUUCACCUUUAAUAGAACCUGAGCCUCGACGAACUAAGUCUUCUGAGACUAGUCGAAGAAGUACAAGUAGGGAGUCUCGAGAUGAAAGAGGGUCGGUACAGUAGCCAUCUUCAUGGUUCUUUCUUCCACCGGUACUAGAGGAGGACGAGUCACGUCAAUUUAUUGUUCCCUCUACUGGCGCAACGCAAGUACGAACACCGUUUUUCGGGGUUCUCCAUGAACUGUUUCUUCGGUGAUACACCGCAACACGGAGGUCCUAGGUGGAUGUGGGAGUGAGAGUGUUACGAGUUCGUCGUCGGUGAAGGUAGCCCGUAACUGCCGCUCAAGAAGUGUGACAUAUCGGAACGCCACUUACUUAUACUGGAGGUCCUGCUCCUACAACUCUUUCUAAGCUAGAGGCAGUUCAUGUUGUUGAAGAAACUCUUUUGAUUUCUCUUUCGACCACGACUGGUUCUCCAUCACGUUCUCUACUGCAACUUCCAAGAGACAACAGUUGUAGUUCUUCUACUAGUACACUGUAGUAGUAGACUCCAGUAUUGGUGCAGACUACGAGUCGUUCAAAGGAGGUAUCUACACGUGGGUUGGCUCGGUACCUAAUAAUGCUGGUUAUUACACCCCUCGGAAGCAAGAACCUUGAUGUUCUGUUACCCCGUGUAACUGUCUCACUACGUUCAUUUCAAAUUGGGUCUCCUGUUCCUGUCAAAGCGAUCACGAAGAUCCCUACCGUGCCAGUUCUAGACCUCAUAUUCAAGACUACUUUAGCAGUGCAACUUUAACCUACCCACACACCUUUUGGAAGAAACAUAACUAAUGAAAUGUGCGUUAUUCUUCGUCGUAGACUAACACCCGACAUUCCUGUCCUAGCGUGUCUAGACCUUUGACCCUUACCCAGUUACACAACUGUUCGAUCUUCCCGUACACCUGGUACAGUCACGGCGGUUAAACGUGGGACUCGAAGGUUACAAUUAAUGUCCAAGUGAACUACCCUGGCAUGCGUAUACCUUGAGGUGAUGGAUGUUCGAACUCUUGUAUUAACCAAAGUUAGAGCCACGUCAAAUACGACAACCUACAUAUUUCCCGAGUUCUUCCUCCGAGCCCCACCAGCGUCCAAGCCCGCGGUAGAGGAAGGAAGGGCAUGUGACCCUAGUUUGUCGGGCGCCGGACCGCCACGGCCGGACCUAGACCUCCGUCUACCUGGUCUAGGACCUCGACCCGUGCUUCCUCGAGCUCCAGCUGCUGAGGCCGAAGCAGGAGGAGGAGACUGCAGCGGUGGAACGAGUCUGAUUCCCCUAGUUCUAACCAGUAGACAAUCGAUACAUGACACCUGGAGUUGUGAUCGACUCAUGGAUACGUCGAUUAGUAACUAGAACAGAACCCACUUUCCGACCGCAAACAAUUAAGUCUAUGACUUUCCGGACCUGCUACCGUUCGUAACUGCACGCGUGCAGCAACGUUGUCUGUGUGGAGUUGGGAGGGCUGCGUGCGUUAUUAGUCGCCACGGUUUUACUAAACCACAAACGUUCCCAGCGAAAACAACGUAAAAGAUGCACUCUUUGGUAGAGUCCGACACGAAAAUAAGUACAAGUAUAAGGUGCAUACGUACACGACGAGGCCACCACAAAAUAAUCAACUAACCGUAUAUACCUAGAGAGGUACAAAUAAUCAACUAGAGGUUGGGGAUGAGACGACACCACAACACCCUCGUUCUUCUCGUACGUACGAAAGAGAGAUGUAGAUCCCAGGUAUGCCGGUCUAACUGCCCGGAUUUGAGACCGAAGUGAGCCUAAAUACACUUAUAUUCGCAUUCUCCAGAUCACCGUUACGAUGUUUUAGUAACGUCCGCACUCAUAGGCCUAACGUGAUGACGACCGGCAAAGAACGCUAACGCAUGUUGUCCGAAGACUGUUUCGGUUCAGUACCGGAGUAAUCCGGGGAAAAAAGUCGGUUUGACUUUCGUGAAGUACAAUCGAACAUAAGCGAAAAGCUAAUUGAUGUUACGUAACAUGGGUAGGUACGAGGUCCCUAUAUUAUUGCAACAUCUAUCUGCCUCUGACUUAGUCAAGUGUGAUGAAACUACAGAUAGCUCGGUUACCCUGUCGUUUCUUUUCUUCUUGACCUUCAUCCAAUAGAUAGAAGUGCUCGUUCAGCCGUAGACAUUUGGAAGUGGCCUCGGUAAGGUCGAGAAAGUCUCGGUGUUCCGUUCCUUCAACUCCUUGGUUCUGGGGUUGCCACGCCUCGUCAAACGGUAGCUCUCCUGAUCCCGACGGUAGUCCCUGGAGAUUUGGUUCGAGUUGUAGAGGGAGCACGGAGGUAGUUGUGGCACAGGACCUCCCAGCAGCGGCAGGCGCUGCUGCUCGAUGACGGCGUCGAAACAGUCGGUGUACCAAUCUCCCUCCGUAGUUCCCGGACGGUGGCGACGGCCCCGGCUGCACGCACAUUAAAGAUAAUUACAUAGAAUACAACGGUUUGUUGUUGUACGAGGACAGUUACGAUAUAGCAACACCCGCACCGUAAAGUCAAAGAAGGAGUCCACUAUAAGGUUAUAUUAUUCAAGGUAGUUCUUAACGUACAUGUACACAACGAUAGGACUAGGUUUUUCCCUUCAUUUUUC
rnacentral:rRNA from 1 species